GAUGAAGAACGUAGCGAAAUGCGAUAAGUAAUGUGAAUUGCAGAAUUCAGUGAAUCAUCGAAUCUUUGAACGCACCUUGCGCUCUCUGGUAUUCCGGAGAGCAUGCCUGUUUGAGUAUCAUGAAAUCUCAACCAUUAGGGUUUCUUAAUGGCUUGGAUUUGGGCGUUGCCAGUUGCCUGGCUCGCCUUAAAAGAGUUAGCGUGUUUAACUUGUCAUAUCUGGCGUAAUAAGUUUCGCUGGUGUACGACUUGAGAAGUGCGCUUCUAAUCGUCCUCGGACAACUCUUGAACUCUGGUCUCAAAUCAGGUAGGACUACCCGCUGAACUUAAGCAUAUCAAUAAGCGGAGGA
rnacentral:misc_RNA from 1 species